rnacentral:rRNA from 1 species
GAUGAACGCUGGCGGCGUGCCUAAUACAUGCAAGUCGAGCGAACAGACGAGGAGCUUGCUCCUCUGCCGUUAGCGGCGGACGGGUGAGUAACACGUGGAUAACCUACCUAUAAGACUGGGAUAACUUCGGGAAACCGGAGCUAAUACCGGAUCAUAUAUUGAACCGCAUGGUUCAAUAGUGAAAGACGGUUUUGCUGUCACUUAUAGAUGGAUCCGCGCCGCAUUAGCUAGUUGGUAAGGUAACGGCUUACCAAGGCGACGAUGCGUAGCCGACCUGAGAGGGUGAUCGGCCACACUGGAACUGAGACACGGUCCAGACUCCUACGGGAGGCAGCAGUAGGGAAUCUUCCGCAAUGGGCGAAAGCCUGACGGAGCAACGCCGCGUGAGUGAUGAAGGUCUUCGGAUCGUAAAACUCUGUUAUUAGGGAAGAACAAAUGUGUAAGUAACUAUGCACGUCUUGACGGUACCUAAUCAGAAAGCCACGGCUAACUACGUG